rnacentral:rRNA from 1 species
AUACGGAGGACGCGAGCGUUAUCCGGAUUCAUUGGGUUUAAAGGGUGCGCAGGCGGCCGUGCAAGUCAGCGGUGAAAGCCCGGGGCUCAACCCCGGAAGUGCCGUUGAUACUGCAUGGUUGGAAUGCGGUCGAGGCGGGCGGAACGUGGCGUGUAGCGGUGGAAUGCGUAGAAAUGGCACAGAACGCCGAUAGCGGAGGCAGCUCGCCAGGCCUGCAUUGACGCUCGGGCACGAAAGCGUGGGGAUCGAACAGGAUUAGAUACCCUGGUAGUCCACGCCGUAAACGAUGGGCGCUCGUCGUCGGCGGCAGACAGUCGGCGGCCAAGCGAAAGCGAUAAGCGCCCCACCUGGGGAGUACGGUCGCAAGGCUGAAACUCAAAUGAAUUGGCGGGG